UUUCCUGUUCCUUCCUAUUGCCCUAGCAGAAAUUUGGGUUCACCUAGAAGCAGACCUUGAGAUAAGGGUUUAAGUGCAAAUGGUGUAUUAGGGAGUUCAUGCCAGGGAACACCAGUAGGAGAGGGAGUUGAUAGUGGGAAGGGAAGGAAAGUCAACACAAGGUAUGUCAUGGAGCAGGUUACUACUUAGGCAAGGGCUGCUCAGUCCUGCGGGAGGUCUCUAGGAAACAGUGGAAAGACACACCUCAGAUUUGUGCCACCUGAGGGCGAAGAACCUGGGGCGUUUAUAUACUGGCUCCCUCAGUCACUGUUGGAGGGCUGCUUCUGGGGAGCGGGUGGGUAAUAAUAUCCUAGCGCUCUACCUUCUACUUGGGGAGGGGCUAUCGAAAUCCAAGAAAGCUCUUGGAUGGUAAAUGCUGGCAGUUGGAAGCCAAGACAAAUGUAAGUGGCUGAAACGUAAACGGCUGUGGGCAGGACACCAGCACAUCUGCUACACUUGGAUUCUCAGAAUGUGUGUGAGGAGGUGGCUUCUCCAUUGCUCCUGAGUGUCACUGCAACAACUCUUCUUUAUCGGUGCUCUUUGACUAUAAGGAAGCUGGCUGCCAUGUUGUAAACUGACCUACGGAGAGGCCCAUGUAACGAGGAACUGAAAUCUCCAGCCAACAACCAGCAAGUACCUGAGGUCUGCUAACCACCACGUGAGUAAUCCUCCCCCCGUGGAGCCUGGAAACAACUGCAGCCCCUCCGAUAUCUUGACUGUAGUCGGUGAGAGACCCCAAGUCUGAGGCACCCAGCUAAGAUGCUCCUGGAUUCCUGAACCACAGAAACUGUAAGAUAACUUUUAUUUUCCAAUUGGAGUACAGUUGAUUUACAAUAUUGUGUUAGUUUCAGGUGUACCGCAAAGUGAUUCAGUUAUACAUAUGUAUUUUUUUCAGAUUCUUUUCCCUUACAGGUUAUUACAAAAUAUUGAGUGUAGUUCCCUGUGCUAUGGAGUAGGUCCUUAUUGGUUAUUUUAUAUAUAGUAGUGAAAUGUUUGUGUUGUUUUCAGCUGCUAAGUUUGGGGGUAAUUUUUUAUGCAGCAAUAUUAAAAAUGCAGGGUUGUCCUUUACAGACCCCCACUCAGAAAUGUGUGUCUUCUAUGACCUUGAGCAAAUCGCUGCUACUGUUUGGGCUUCAGUCUCCUCAUCUGGGAGGCUUUGGGCUUAGAGUCUAGUGUCUCAAGUCUUCUGUCCGUGAAGAUGUAGCCUGUGAGGUUACAACAAGGCCCAUCUCUUCUACUGUUUAGUGUAUGAAGCCCGGUUAAACCCGCACAUCUUUGUAUGUUAAGCUCCACGUCUUUAAAUUUGCCUCACGUUUUUCACUCCUAUUAUCUGAAGUCUGUUUCUAAUUUCUGACAGAAUUGCAGCGGCCCAUUGUGUGCCUCGCUCUGCAUGACAUGCCAAUUUCAUUUUGGAGUCACAGCUAUUGUCUUUUUCCCCACUAAUCUCGUUUUGCAAAAUUCCAAUAGAACCUGUGAACAGAGAGAGUUGCCCUUGUGCUUGAUCUGGGCGCUGUGUGGCCCCCAAACAGGGGUGGAUGAUAGACAGCCUGUCUGCCACCCGAGGCAUCUUUUCUUGCUUAAAAAUUUGUUCUCCAGAUUGCAGACUCCCUUCCAACGCUAGCAAAGACUGGAACAUAUUAAAUAAGAGCAGAGCUGAAAUUGGAUGGAAUGUCUCAGCCACUUAGAUUCAGACCUCUCUUUAGGGGGAGCACGUGGGGAAGAGGCCGGGAAGUGCCCACGUGGAUAAUGUGGAGGAAGACAGCUUCCAUCCCUUUCUUAUACCAUUCAAGCCUUAAACAGGGGUAACAUUUUUUCUUAAGCAGGGCCUAUAACCCAGGAUCCAUCACUUAUAUAUGGUGUCCAUGGCAACCAGGCAAUGGUAUGGGAUCCCUUCUCACUGGGGAAUUCCUUUUAUGGCUCAUUUCCGAAACCAGCAUGGCCAGUACAGGAGCCUGCAGUUUCCCAGUUGCUUAGCAACCAGCUCCUAUGCUCUAGUCACUAGGAAAAGCAGACAGUUAAAAAAAAAAAAGUGUAGUCAGAAUCAUAUGUUACAUUCUUUCUACUUUGUCUCUUUAGAAUAAAAUAGUGUGCGAUAAGGAUGCGGGAAAGGGCAACCGCUCCCUGUUAAUGCCUUCACUGCUCCUGGCGGGCUUGCAGGCAGAAAGAGGGAGGAAAAUGUUAGCACGCUUUCGGCUGGAAAUUAAGCAGCGCGAGCCAUCUGCACGUUGAAAGCUCUACAUUUUUCACGUCUUGUGGGGGCAUCAAGCAAAGGACAGCCCCCAACACCAAAGAAGUAUCCUGCCCACAGUGCCAGUAUGCCGAGCUUGAGAAACCCUGCGUUAGACAGUCAGAAGAACCAUCUGUCUUGUUAAAGACAAGCACUACAGCCAUUUGGAAAACACCCUGGCCUCAAACAGAAGCCUGUCUAGUUUGGACCACUUCAAAUGCCUUGUCACCUCCAUUCUUUCUUUCUUAUAAUGCAUCAACCGGAGCUAUACGUUCCCUAUAAAGGGGAUAAUUAAAUGAUACACUUAGAGGUUGCUUGCUCAUCCCUCCCAAGCAGAAUGAUGGAAUCUCACCUGGAAGCAGUGACAACCAGGAAAGGCGGAAGAAGGAUGUUUACCAGACACACAUGAACUCAGCUCCCCCAGCAGGUAGCACACAGGUACCUCAUUUCUGAACAGGUAGCAGAAGCCAGAUCCACAGUCACCCCAGGGCUGUGACUGGCUGGAGACGGGAUAUCUCGAGGUUUACCAGGAGGACCGGAAGCACUCCAAGUAUGUGGACAUCAGAGCAGUGGCUAAGAAAGAGUCCAGGCGGGCUGGGACAUCAGGCAGCUGAGGGCAAGGCAGGCAGCACGUCUGGGCUCCAGGAUGACAGAUAGGCGAUUUAAAACAGGGCACCCUCAGAGCCCUGAAACAAGGCAAGGCUUUAUCAGGAAGGGGAUCUGAGCCUCAGGAGUGAGAGUAGUACAACUGAGCCUGGCUGAAGACAGAUCCUUAUGACAAUAAAGCAGAAGGGAUAACAGAGAGGGAGGGAGAGGGUUGAUGCCUCCUCCGGGGCAAAUAAUUUUCUCUGUAUCCCUGUAACACUAGUACAGGUUCCUAGAAGAUCAGUCAGUUGGUCAAUUAGCAGGUAAUGUUGAAUAUGUACUCUGUGGGUAUCAUUCCUUGCAUAAAGCUCCCGCAGAACCCUAACCUCAUGAGGUGCUCCAAGAAAAACAUUCUGUGAUCACUAUGAUUUUUGCAAACUGCAAGUCCCUCUUGGAAAUUCAUAGUGUACAUUAGCAUUUUAGAAGCUCAAACUCCUGUGAUAUAGAAACCUGUUUUUAAUCCAGUAACAGUUGACAACAGGAUCCUUUUAUUACGUGAAAACUAUGAACAUCCUGUGGACACACCUUGAGAGAUAUUGUUCUAAAGCAUUCCUAAUCUGGUGUUCCCAGGCCCUUCGCAACCUGGGCCUGCCCUUGUUUCCCGACUUUACCUUCCUUUAUUUUCCUACAUUCCAGGCACACUGAAUUCUUCCCUUGUACAUGCCCCUAGUUCACAUUUCCUUCUUUUCUCUACAGCAGGUGAUUCAUCAUCUGCCCAAAAAAGGGAAAAAACGCUGAGCCUUCCUCACUUCAGCCCCCGCCCAUUGCUACCUAUCCUGUAAGGCUCACCUCAAAGGGGGGACACUUGAGCCAUCUCUGCCCCAGCCUCCCUGUUACUAUAAACAAUGCAUUUUCUCCUCUGAUCCCUUGUGUCACACUAUCUAUUGCUUUUAGAGCACUUAGUACCUUUUAAUUUGUGUAUGGCCAUCUAUGCCUUUCUUAUUAGGAGACAAUCCAUGUCUGGUUCAUUUUGAUACUCCUAGCCCAGAACACAGCUUACUCGUAGGACUGUCCAAGGGAGCAGGAAGUAAGAAGCUAUGACCUCCAAGGCGGAAGUAAGUUUCCCAACACUCAGGCCAGAGAUGGCAGCUCUCUGGCUCACAGGCUGUGAACUCACACUCACCUGUGGUGAACAGACUCAUCUAGCACCACGCAAUGCCCCUGGGGCCCAGAUGCCGCGCCCCCUCCAAAGCUUCUCAACACGGUGCUCGCAGUAGUCAUGAUCAACGGGUUAGAGUUGGCAUGACAGAGGAAAUCUAGUUGUCAUCCUUGAUUUGGACUUUUCCACGAAGUGAAAGUUAGGAGAAUUUAGCAAGCUGAAUAUUGGAGCUCUUAAUACUUCAGAUCAAGGACUGUCCAUAACAGAAAAGAGCAAUUAGCAAAACUGUUCAUUAUACUUUCAUGUUCAAGUCUAGUCUCAAGGCUAAUUAUCUGUAUAAUUAACAUGUUACCAAAUGCAAAUAAUUGAUGAGCCUGAUCUCUUGGAAUGGAACACAAGUCUUGUGAAAUGUAAAUAGCUGUGAAUUACUAACAGCUUUCCUUUACAUGGCCUGUCUAAAUAGGGCAGUGCCUGUAAAAUUAAACAAUUUAAGUAUAAUCCCAGGUAUGCUAAAAGACUGACAAAACAAUGUGAUGUGUGGUUCAAUGCACAGAAAAUGCACAGGUUUUUAAAUUCUCACUCUACUACUUUCUAGCUGUGUGACCUUGGGCAAGUUAAUCUCAGUUUACUCAUUUAUAAAUCUAUAAAUUUAUAAUUUAUAUUAAAUUAUAAUUUACAAAUUAUAAAUUGUUAUUUAUACAUCUGUUUCCGCAUUUAUAAAAUGGGUGUAACAGCAGCCCCUGGUUCACAGGAUUGUUGAGAAUUAAAUGAGGGUUGACUCACUUGGAAAGAGUACACAAUAAAUGUGAACCAUUGUUUUCAUUAUUACAUUUUGUAUUGCUUAGAUUUUGUUCAGAAAUAAACAUUAGACGGAAAGGGAACGUAUACAGAUGUCCCUGCUAUAACACUACCUAUGUGUUCCUGAAAAGCUCCAUGGUCUACAAAAUAGCCCACUGAAAAAAACUGGGCUGCUGGGAAA